CGGGGUAGUGGUGCUAUUAUCUGUAGGUAUGAAUGCUUACUUUAUCUCCAAUGCUCAUUAUGGUUGCCUUAUUUCACUGUUCACUCAUAGACUGCAAAUAAUGAGGUAAAACACUUUAUCAGCAUCUCAAGUUUUUUCAACCAUCAGUAGGAUUUAAUAUGCAUUUUUGCAUGAAGUGACUAUACCAUUCACAUAGAAGUUUUCUAUUUGUUGUUGGUCCACUGUUAUUUUGUUUCGUUUAAGCAAUUUUCAGCAACAAAAUUUCUUUUGAACAGAUGAAUUUGUAAGAAAAGAAAAGGAAAAUAGGACAAUUGAAUAGUCUCUUUAAGAAAGUCCCAGAGAGGCUUAGUUGAUCCAUCAUUAAUGUUUUAUCCCGGCUAUUACAUCAUCAAGACCGUGGAUUGAGAAACGGUUAGAUUGAAAAGAGAAAAACAAUAAAUUGCAGCUUUGUCACUCUAGCUCAGAUUUGGGCCCAUAAUACCUUUUUAGAAAGAGAACGACAAGACGAAUUGAACUCAUGUCAUAGCUGUGAUGUGUGAUGAAUUUUAACCAUUAGAAUUCGUUUAAAACUCGAAAACUGCCUUUAAAAGUUUUAGUACUAUUUUUUAUUUUGAAUUCUUAACAAUUUAUAUCUUUUAUGCUAGUUUUUAUUUUUUUAUUUAUCAUUUAAACGCUUAUAAAUAAAGGAUUAAUUCAUUGUUUUUGGGCAUCUUGAAAUUAAAAAAACUUCUUGACUUAUAUCUUUCAUUCUUUGGUGGAUUCUGGAUUUGUGUUCUUAAAGUUUUCGUUUGAAUUAUUUGUUUUGUGCUGCGCCAAAGACCAUGAACAUGAGCAGUGUCAUCGUCUACUUGAAGUCUUGAAGUAUGGUACCAGUUCCGCCAAGAUCUCUUCCUUAGUUGCAGAAAGAAUCUGCACAACUGGAAACGUAACCUGAUAAACUAUGGGACAAUCAUUUUUUCUUAAUGUGUUCAAAAUCUGUUCUCUCCUGUAUCUUUGCCUAAGGACACUUAAGUAUUGCAAAACACUUGACACUGAGCCCACAAGAGUCGAUGUUUGAAUUCUUCGAAACAUUCAGUCGUAUCUAGUUUUAUGUCUCUUUUUAUUAACCUAGACUGAUCUGCGAGAUGUUUAUUUGCUCGUUAUUUAGGUGAUAUGUGCGGUGGUACAGGAAAAUGGAAAGCUUAGAAAGAAUAAGGGCCAAAGAUGUUUACGAGUUUCCAGAAUGUCCAAAUUGUUACGGUUUGUUACUCAUCACAACUCAUAGAUUCAUUAAUAUGAAGUUUGGUUCUUCACUCUGGAUUCUCCAUAGAUGCUCAUUAUGCUGUUGAACUAUUACUGUCGGUAAUUAGUAUGAUAGAAGAUUAUAGAGAUAAUACUGACAGGAAAUUAUGAUGAUGGAACGUUAACAGCAUAAUCAAGAAAGGACAACAGUGCAAUGUUCAUUUCAAUUGCAUUUUGAGUACUUUUUCCACACAAAACCUGCCAAAUAAAGAACUUCUCUCAUUACUCAGUUCGAGCUCCUAAAUAUUUAUCGAUGGUUUGAAUCUGUAGCAUUUAUGAUACGUGACAGGUGGGUUUUGGUGCAGGUCGAGGGAAACUAGUGUGUCCCGUGUGCCUGGGGACUGGUUAGCCGAACAACAAGGUCUUCUAAGGCGGCCAGAUGCACGGCAGUUGCUUGAAAAUAUGUAUAAUGGACGUUUAUUACCAAACUCUUUAGGAAAAAUCUUAUCAGAAGUCCACUCUAAAAGAGAACUAGCUCACCAGAAAUAGAUUUUCAAUAGCAGUAAUCUCUUUUCAAGACAACUUUUUCA
rnacentral:lncRNA from 1 species